UACGAAGGGGGCGAGCGUUGUUCGGAAUUACUGGGCGUAAAGGGCGCGUAGGCGGCGACUCUAGUCAGAUGUGAAAGUCCUGGGCUUAACCUGGGGACUGCAUUUGAUACUGGGUUGCUUGAAUUCGGGAGAGGAUAGCGGAAUUCCCAGUGUAGAGGUGAAAUUCGUAGAUAUUGGGAAGAACACCAGUGGCGAAGGCGACUCACUGGACAUGUAUUGACGCUGAGGUGCGAAAGCGUGGGGAGCAAACAGG
rnacentral:rRNA from 1 species